rnacentral:lncRNA from 1 species
CGGAGUUUCCCUUCGCGGGGCCCGCUGGGGAAGCAUCCGCGGCUUGUGGUGGCUGUGGUUUUGUGCCCAGGACUCACACGUAAAAGGAGCUCAUUCGGAGGCAGGGGCACGCGCUUGUCCCCAGAACUCAAACCCCAGAGUCCCUCCGCAGAUGAGAGUGGAGGUUGUAAAUCACCCUCCAUGCAAUGGUUCAUCAUAAAGGAUAUGGAGCAAAAUUAGAGGAGGCACGAGAAGGAAAGCCGGUGAUGAACAAGGUAGGGGCUGCUGCGGCGUGAUUGAAGACAGGCUGGGAACGCGGGAGAAGC